CGAAAUUAAUGGACCUAUACAGCGGCGUUUAAUGGCAGAAAGCGUUGCAACGCUGCGUUCGAUCUGGGUCAUUUGGCCGAUCUUUUCUUGGAGGGUCAUCCGGCAAAGGAGGUCUUUGAUUCUGGAUUCGAUUGGGGCAUUUGGGUCCUUGUAUAUGCAUCCCAUUUUCUUGGUGAAGUACUUUAAUUAUGGACUCAGUGAUGGUUUUAUAGGGAUACAAGGCUCUGAUAGUGAUAGUAGCGGUGCCGGUAGCUAAAUCGAC
rnacentral:lncRNA from 1 species